rnacentral:rRNA from 1 species
AGGAAUUGGCGGGGGAGCACCACAAGGGGUGAAGCCUGCGGUUCAAUUGGAGUCAACGCCGGGAAUCUUACCGGGGGCGACAGCAGAGUGAAGGUCAAGCUGAAGACUUUACCAGACAAGCUGAGAGGAGGUGCAUGGCCGUCGCCAGCUCGUGCCGUGAGGUGUCCUGUUAAGUCAGGUAACGAGCGAGAUCCCUGCCUCUAGUUGCCACCAUUACUCUCAGGAGUAGUGGGGCGAAUUAGCGGGACCGCCGCAGUUAAUGCGGAGGAAGGAGGGGGCCACGGCAGGUCAGUAUGCCCCGAAACUCUGGGGCCACACGCGGGCUGCAAUGGUAGUGACAAUUGGUUCCGAAUCCGAAAGGAGGAGGUAAUCCUCAAACGCUACCACAGUUAUGACUGAGGGCUGCAACUCGCCCUCACGAAUAUGGAAUCCCUAGUAACUGCGUGUCAUUAUCGCGCGGUGAAUACGUCCCUGCUCCUUGCACACACCGCCCGUC